AUUAGGGUGUCUGACUAAAAGAGGUAAACUGUAAAUUUAUUUAUGAAUUAAAUUCCCUUAAUA
rnacentral:tRNA from 1 species